AGAAGCUUAGGUUCAAUUAGACCAAGGGCCUUCAAAGCCCUAAGCAAGGGUGAGAACCCCUUAGCUUCUG
rnacentral:tRNA from 1 species